GUCUUUGUAGUGCAAUUGGAAGCACGUUCUACCCAAAUUCGAGAGGUUCCUGGUUCGAAUCCCAGCGAAGGCG
rnacentral:tRNA from 1 species